rnacentral:lncRNA from 1 species
CGGCCUAGGGUCCUCGUCUCGCAAGCCUGUGGAGAGGGGAGGAGGAGAGGAAUGGAUUUGACGUCGCCCUUGGCCUUUCGCUACAAGUCUCUUUCGUUUCGCUCGCUGCGCUUGCGCUGAAAUGGUUUUUCCUUUUUUUUUUUUUCCUCCCUCUCCCUCGUCUCGCCCCCCUCUCUCUGUGCGUGGUUAUUUUUCUGCCAACCUACCGGCUUCGGGAGAGGGCUGAUCGUGUUGCUUGCUUGCGGCUUCUUUUGUAUGUUUCGCAGCGUUUGGUUGGGUCUUGAGAUGGAAGUUUUCUAGAUUAAUCUAUGGGUGAUGCACAAAGAGGGGAAGCCUGGAACCUGGAAACGGAAUGAAACACCCCCUGAAUAAAAGGGCCAGCGAUUUGUGCUGCGUACCCCCAAGGGAAAUGAACACG